GAUGAAGAACGGAGCGAAAUGCGAUACGUAAUGUGAAUUGCAGAAUUCAGUGAAUCAUCGAAUCUUUGAACGCAUAUUGCGCUCUCUGGUAUUCCGGAGAGCAUGCUUGUUUGAGUAUCAGUAAACACCUCAACUUCCAUAUGUUUUUUGAAAUGGGAGUUGGACUUGAGUGAUCCCAACGCUUUUCCUCACCGAAAAGUGGCGGGUUACUUGAAAUGCAGGUGCAGCUGGACUUUUCUCUGAGCUAUAAGCAUAUCUAUUUAGUCUGCCUAAAAAACAGAUUAUUACCUUUGCUGCAGCUAACAUAAAGGAGAUUAGUUCUUGUGCUGACUGAUGCAGGAUUCACAAAGACGGCUUCGGCCGACUUUGUAAACUCGAUCUCAAAUCAAGUAAGACUACCCGCUGAACUUAAGCAUAUCAAUAAGCGGAGGA
rnacentral:misc_RNA from 1 species